rnacentral:lncRNA from 1 species
GGGCGGAGCGAGCGGCGGCGGCGCCGAGGGGGAUGUGGACCCUUGGUAGAGGGGCUGGGAGUGAGGACCCUCGGAGCAGUGUCCCGUGGGCUGGAGCUCCCCGUGUGGGGGUGGCAGCGGCUGGACCCUCGUUCUAGGACGUGGGGACGGGACCAGCGUCUCUGCAUGGCAUUCCUGCUGUAGAGACGGCGGGGUGACCCCGCGGUAGGCACGGCGGCGGGAUCCCCAGGGUCUGGAUGAGGCUGUGACACUGCUGUGACACUGCCCCUCGGAAGCGGGGCAGAUUACCUGGGGACGUGGGAGGCACUUCAUCUUCGGCUUGUGAUAGAGGGCUGGGGACUGGGACUGGCUCGUGUUUGAGUGUCAGACGAAGAGCUCUAAGUUAUUGCAACUGAAUAAUCGCAGAAGAACGUAAAUAUGUCAAAGCAGUGUCAAGAGAUUUCUUUGCAGGGAUACCCUUAUCUGAGUAGGCGUGUUUUUGACUGCCUGACUGAGUAUAGUCUCUCUCUGCAGGGACAACCUUGGGCAUCCUCUCUGCACUUGUCAGGGGCACGGAAGAUGCCCUUUAAAGCUUGCUGAUGCUCAUCAAACUCUGGUAUUUGUCCUGAAAACUGUUAGAGGUUUCAGGGUUUGUUUUUUUUUUAAUGGAA